rnacentral:rRNA from 1 species
UACAGAGGGGGCAAGCGUUAUUCGGAAUUAUUGGGCGUAAAGGGCGCGUAGGCGGCAUCGCAAGUGGAAGGUGAAAUCCCUCGGCUUAACCGAGGAACUGCCCUCCAACUGCGUUGCUUGAGGCCGGGAGAGGUGAGUGGAAUUCCCAGUGUAGCGGUGAAAUGCGUAGAUAUUGGGAGGAACACCAGUGGCGAAGGCGGCUCACUGGACCGGUUCUGACGCUGAGGCGCGAAAAGCGUGGGGAGCAAACGGGG